GACGGAGGAUGCAAGUGUUAUCCGGAAUCACUGGGCGUAAAGCGUCUGUAGGUGGUCAAAUAAGUCAACUGUUAAAUCUUGAGGCUCAACCUCAAAAUCGCAGUCGAAACUAUUCGACUAGAGUAUAGUAGGGGUAAAGGGAAUUUCCAGUGGAGCGGUGAAAGUGCGUAGAGAUUGGAAAGAACACCGAUGGCGAAGGCACUUUACUGGCUAUUACUAACACUGAGAGACGAAAGCUAGGGUAGCAAAUGGG
rnacentral:rRNA from 1 species